UACGUAGGGUGCGAGCGUUAAUCGGAAUUACUGGGCGUAAAGCGUGCGCAGGCGGUUUUGUAAGCCAGAUGUGAAAUCCCCGGGCUUAACCUGGGAAUGGCAUUUGGGACUGCAAGGCUUGAGUGCGGCAGAGGAGACUGGAAUUCCUGGUGUAGCAGUGAAAUGCGUAGAGAUGUGGAGGAACACCGAUGGCGAAGGCAGCCCCCUGGGUUAACACUGACGCUCAGGCACGAAAGCGUGGGGAGCAAACAGG
rnacentral:rRNA from 1 species